rnacentral:rRNA from 1 species
UACAGAGGUGGCAAGCGUUGUUCGGAAUUAUUGGGCGUAAAGGGCUCGUAGGCGGUUUGUCACGUCGGGAGUGAAAACUCGGGGCUUAACCCCGAGCCUGCUUCCGAUACGGGCUGACUAGAGGUAUGCAGGGGAGAACGGAAUUCCUGGUGUAGCGGUGAAAAUGCGCAGAUAUCAGGAGGAACACCGGUGGCGAAGGCGGUUCUCUGGGCAUUACCUGACGUGAGGAGCGAAAGUGUGGGGGAGCGAACAGG